CGCGCUUUUCUUCACUCUCGCAACAUUCCCGCGUGUUUGGAUCAGCCCAUCCAAACACGGAAACCAUAAAGUAAUUGUAUAUUAAUAUUUUGGUAUAUGAUUUAAUUCGGUGCGCAUUAAUAAUUUGUCACUGAUGACUCACAGGAAACAUCAUUUCUCGUAUUUUCAUAAUAUUUUGUGCAAAUACUCUCUGCGAGAGUAAGUUACGUC
rnacentral:lncRNA from 1 species